UCAGUUUUAAUCAAACAAAAUAGCUUUGCUUACACUAAUAGUCAGAGAAAUGGAGAAGAAGUCGGUUAUCCAACUCUUAUUUAUUUUCUUAGUGGCCACCGGCCUGCUACUUCCGAAGGAGGUGGAUGCAAAAUGCGAGGAAGACCCGUGCACUUCAACAGCUGAUUGCCUCAGAUCACACCGCCCUCCCAAAGGAGUAAGCUGUUUUUGCUCUGUCGUCGGUCUUUGUUCGUGCUGCCACCCAGGAUAUCCACCCAGGAAUGAUGUUGCCGGCAACAAUACCCUUGCAUCCACUCCAUGAUUUUCAUCAAAGUUUAAUGUGUACUCCAUUUCGUCUGGAGUGCAAAACGUGAAUGAGGUUUAAUAAGGCAAUGUAACGUCAAAAUCACUAUCAUUUUGAUGGUGAUAACUAAUGAAUAAAAAAAAUAUUAUGCC